GCUGGGCGCGGUGGCUCAUGCCUGUAAUCCCAGCAAUUUGGGAGGCUGAGGUGGGGGGAUCACUUGAGGUCAGGAGUUCCAGACCAGCCUGGCCAACAUAGUGAAACCCCGUCUCUA
rnacentral:SRP_RNA from 1 species